AUGGAACAGUGGGGAUUGUGGACAUGGGCGCAAGCCUGAUCCAGCAAUGCCGCGUGCAGGAUGAAGGCCUUCGGGUUGUAAACUGCUUUUGUACGGAACGAAACGGUGAGCUCUAAUACAGUUUGCUAAUGACGGUACCGUAAGAAUAAGCACCGGCUAACUACGUGCCAGCAGCCGCGGUAAU
rnacentral:rRNA from 1 species